GAGUUUGAUUCUGGCUCAGGAUGAACGUUGGCGGCGUGCCUGAGAUAUGCAAGUCGAGCGUGCCCUCCAAUUCGGAGGGCAGCGGCGAACGGCUGAGUAACACGUAGGAACUUGCCCCUAAGUAGAGGAUAGCCCAUCGAAAGAUGGGGUAAUACUCUAUGGUCCCCGACGUUACGUCGGGGUAAAGGAUUUAACCGUCCGCUUAGGGAGAGACCUGCGGCCUAUCAGGUAGUUGGUAGGGUAACGGCCUACCAAGCCGAUGACGGGUAGCUGGCCUUAUGAGGGUGGUCAGCCAGAGGGGGACUGAGACACGGCCCCCACUCCUACGGGAGGCAGCAAUCAGGAAUAGUCGGCAAUGGGCGAAAGCCUGACCGCGCGACGCCGCGUGCGGGAAGAAGCUCUUCGGAGUGUAAACCGCUGUGGUAGGGGAGGAAACCCCGACGUUACGUCGGGGAUGACAGUACCCUACUAGAAAGGGGCCGCUAACUGCGUGCCAGAAGCGUCGGUAAUACGUGGGCCCCAAACGUUAUCCGGUUUUACUGGGCGUAAAGGGUCGUGUAGGCGGUUUAGCAAGUUUUUGC
rnacentral:rRNA from 1 species